rnacentral:rRNA from 1 species
UCCUGGCUCAGGAUGAACGCUAGCGACAGGCCUAACACAUGCAAGUCGAGGGGUAACAGGGGCUUCGGCCCGCUGACGACCGGCGCACGGGUGAGUAACGCGUAUGCAACCUGCCUGUAACAGCCGGGAUAGCUCCCUGAAAGGGGGAAUUAACACCGCAUAAGACCACGCUCUCGCAUGGGGACGGGGUAAAAUAUUUAUAGGUUACAGAUGGGCAUGCGUGACAUUAGUUAGUUGGUGAGGUAACGGCUCACCAAGACUGCGAUGUCUAGGGGUUCUGAGAGGAAGGUCCCCCACACUGGAACUGAGACACGGUCCAGACUCCUACGGGAGGCAGCAGUGGGGAAUAUUGCGCAAUGGGACGAAAGCCUGACGCAGCCACGCCGCGUGUGCGAUGAAGGUCCUCUGGAUUGUAAACCUCUUUUGGCAGGAAACAAACCUGCGCUAUACGCGCAGCUGAGGGUACCUGCAGAAUAAGCACCGGCUAACUCCGUG